ACACCGCUCCUGGAGCGAUUGUUUCAAUGUUGCUUGCUCGGAAUGGCCCUCCUGAGCAAACAACAGACGGUGCUCAAAGUAACAACUGGACUUAAUAAAAGGAGCUUACACGAAGGAGGAGCUGAAGGCUGCUGUGGUCGUGUGCUGGGGGCUGCCCCAGCUCCAGCUGCAGGACCCCGGCCGUCUGCCUUCCGACUCCGGUGAUGAUUCUUCCUGCGGUCUGAUCAAGAUUCUAUGCAGUUAACUUUGUAUCCAAGGAUCUAUAGCCAAGAAAUUUGGAGCUCAGUUUCAAACGAAAAAAGAAAAACACACUGACUGGGAUAUAGCAGUCCUGAAUGCCAAUUUGAGACAAAUUCCAGCAAGCAAUGUGAUCUAGGUGAAAAU
rnacentral:lncRNA from 1 species